rnacentral:rRNA from 1 species
UACGUAGGUGGCAAGCGUUGUCCGGAAUUAUUGGGCGUAAAGCGCGUGCAGGCGGUUCCCUAAGUCUUAUGUGAAAACCCACCGCUCUACCGUGGAGGGUCUUUGGAAACUGGGGGACUUGAGUGCAGAAGAGGAGAGCGGAAUUCCACGUGUAGCGGUGAAAUGCGUAGAGAUGUGGAGGAACACCAGUGGCGAAGGCGGCUCUCUGGUCUGUAACUGACGCUGAGGCGCGAAAGCGUGGGGAGCAAACAGG